UACGUAGGGGGCAAGCGUUGUCCGGAUUUAUUGGGCGUAAAGAGCGUGUAGGCGGCUGGGUAGGUCCGCUGUGAAAACUCGAGGCUUAACCUCGAGACGUCGGUGGAAACCAUCCAGCUAGAGUCCGGAAGAGGAGAGUGGAAUUCCUGGUGUAGCGGUGAAAUGCGCAGAUAUCAGGAAGAACACCCGUGGCGAAAGCGGCUCGCUGGGCCAUACCUGACGCUGAGACGCGAAAGCGUGGGGAGCAAACAGG
rnacentral:rRNA from 1 species